GAUGGAGCAUAGAUGCUUUGGUUAUGUUUUAUUUAGUUAUGGUUUGGUUGUGUUGUAUUUUUAUUUAUUAUGUUUUGGUUUAUGGUUUGGUUGUGUCGUAUUUUUAUUCAUUAUGCUUUGGUUGUGGUUUGUUAUUAUUAUUGUGCCUUGUUUGUAGUUUUUUUUAUUUUUAUUUUGUUUUGUUUGAAGUAUGGAAUAUGUUGAAUAAAAAGGUAAUUUAUUGAAUACUUU
rnacentral:lncRNA from 1 species